rnacentral:rRNA from 1 species
GACGAACGCUGGCGGUGUGCUUAACACAUGCAAGUCGAACGGUAAGGCCCUUUCGGGGGUACCCGAGUGGCGAACGGGUGAGUAACACGGGAGUAACCUGCCCUCAUCUCUGGGAUAACAGUCGGAAACGGUUGCUAAUACUGGAUAUGAGCUUGCAAGGCAUCUUGUGGGUUGGAAAGAUUUUUUUGGUUGGGGAUGGACUCGCGGCCUAUCAGCUUGUUGGUGAGGUAGUGGCUCACCAGGGCUUCGACGGGUAGCCGGCCUGAGAGGGCGACCGGCCACAUUGGGACUGAGAGACGGCCCAAACGCCUACGGGAGGCAGCAGUGGGGAAUAUUGCACAAUGGACGUAAGUCUGAUGCAGCACCGCCGCGGGCGGGAUGACGGCCUUCGGGUUGUAAACCGCUUUCAAUUGUGACGAAGCUUUUUGUGACGGUAGCAGUAGAAGAAGCACCGGCUAACUACGUG